rnacentral:rRNA from 1 species
AUGGCGAUGCAAGUUGAAAUCCAAAUUUCGAUGCUCUACUUCAGAGUUUUCUUCAGUUCGAAUGGCUUGAAACACACAAAACUAGCCAGCUGCAAGCAAAGAAUUGAUUUCUAUCUUUACCUAAAGCAAAAGUGGCACCUGAACGAUCUACUUGUCUUCUAUCAACCAGCAGAUUCUUUAUAUAGUACCAUUUCUUCACUUAACCAAGGCAGGAAGUCAACAACUGAUCGGCAAAUGAGCAUGGAGAUUGCUGAAGAGCUGAGUGACUAUGCAUGCUUAGUUAGUGGAGCUCAAAAAACAGUUGGUCAUGCAUCAGAAUAUUGCCAAUGGCCCAAUACAUGGGUCAACUUAUACCUUCUUCUUCCCUCUCGUCUAGCGUCCAUCAUCGAUCUCCACCAACGCAUCAAACCUCGUCUCGCCAUGUCUUCCUCCAGCUCAACUCUCUCCUCCGCUGGCCUAAACAACACCAUCUCAGAACCCCUGACUCGCACGAACUAUGUUCUGUGGCGAGCUCAAGCCCGAUCUCAGAUUAUAGGAGCGGGCCUCCUAGGAUACCUAGAUCAAACAAUCCCAGAACCACCAGCCACCAUCACCUCAAAGAACGCUGAAGGCAAAGAUCAGAUCGUUCCAAACCCAGCCUACUCCGCCUGGUUGAUCCAGGAUCAACAGCUUGUAGCCUAUCUCCUUCGCAAUCUCUCGAAAGAAGUUCUGGUGCAAGUCGCCUCCUUAGAAAAAUCCCACGCCAUCUGGACUGCUCUCGCAAACAUGUUUGCUGCCCAGUCCAGGUCGCGAGCCAACAACUGCCGCGCCGCCCUCUCCAAUGCCCAGAAGGGUUCUCAAUCCGCUGCUGCGUACUUUGGUCAGAUGCGUGCACUCGCAGAUGAACUUGCCAUGGCUGGAAAGCCUCUUCUCGAAGGAGAGCUAAUUUCCUUUCUCAUUGCUGGCCUUGACAUGGACUAUCAACCCCUCAUAUCCGCUCUUGAUGUUCGCACUGAGCCUCUCUCCGUCGACGAUCUGUUCGGCAUGGUGUCGAACUUCGAUCAGAGAGUGGAGAUGUUCCACGGAUCUGGAUCGGGCGCCUUCAAGUCCUCCGCAAACGCCGCCGCUCGCGGACGCGGUGGCCCUCCCAAGGGCAACCGUGGUUUCCCCAAGAGUGGUGGCAACAAUGGCAGCAGCAACGGCGGCUUCAACAACGGCGGCAACAAUGGUGGCUACCGCGGCGGCGGCGGCCAUGAAAACAGCGGUGGCAAUGGCUACCGCGGCGGCGGUGGCGGCAACUACAACAACUACAACAACAACCAUGGUGGCGGUGGCGGCUUCUACAACAACAACGGCCAGCCGCGUUACUACUACAACAACAACCAAGGUCGCCACUUUGCCGGUUUAUUGCCGCAGAUUCGUCAUCAGGAGAAAAUUUGGAUCCAAGCGGGCAUCAUUUUAUGUGCCCCCCAGCAGGAGACACCGAACCACGAGGUGGAUCCGCCUCAGGAUCACCCCUGCAGGCCCGUGCGCCCCGUAGUGGACAGCGGCAGCGUCACGGGUGGGUGCAUGCAACCCACCAUCCAGCGCCAACCGGAGGAGGGCAUGUGGAGGGGACCAACCGCAGACUCGCCCGGCCCCAGCGCCAGGGCGGAUCGGUUGCCCAGCCCGCAGUCGCCUGGCCCCAGCGCCAGGGCGGAUCGGUCGCCCAGCCCGCGAUCGCCUGUGCCAGCGACAGGAUCUCCCUCGGGAUUGGGAUCGCCAGCAUCUGACGCUGACGCAGGAGGAUCUCCACCUCCUGGAUCGCCUGUGCAGCAACAACUUGCGGUCUCUCCUGUGGCACAGCACACCAGAUUACAAAGGGGAGUUACUACUCAGCUGCAGUUUGAGAAAAUCAUCCACAUUGACUGCUCAAAGUGGGAGAGCAGAAGAGCAAUGCAAAGGGAAAUAGCAGAGCAGCUGAACCUUCCCAAUUGGGUGAUGAAUAUGUUUGAGAAGCAAGAUGAAGAGGAUGAUUUCAAUGGCAAGAUGUUGUGGACUUUCCAAGGGAGGUUUCGGCUUGACCCCAAGAUGAUAGACAAUGUGAAGAAGAGCACAUCAACUGAUGUCGUUCUUUCAGCUUCAAGUGACCGACGAGAUCCGCAGGAACUUUGGUCUUAUCUAGUGCAUCAUGAGGCUGCACAAGUUUCCUGCCACAAAAAUGGACACAGGAAGCAGGUCAACUCUGGUGACACGCCCACCGUGAAGACGCCCCCGCCGCUCCUGACCGAGGAAGAUGGUCCACAGGAUGGCCCAUCCUUGCACGCCCAGGACGACAGCGAGGUGCGCGCGUCACCUGCCCGAGGUGCUUCGCCAAGGUGCUCGCACUACAGGAGCUGUUCGCCAUGGCUCUCGCACGUGCUGCAGGAGCUGCUCGUCGUGGUCCUCGCGCACUGCACCGAGCCUCGUGGCGGGCGGGAGCCUCAAUGUCCCGUUGCAGCGGAAGGGGAGGAGGGUGUUGGAGAGCUCUGGCUCACCCGUGGUCGUCGCAGGAGGCGAGAGGAGGCCGGAACUGUGGUGAUGCUGCUUGCGGCCGCUGCUACUGCUCCUAUGCUAGAGGAUGUUGCGGUGGUCUUUUUGGAGGGACCGAACCGCGAAUGCGAGCCUAUUGUCAUCUCGGCACCAGAGUGCGGCCUGCGGCUCGGCGGCGAGGGCUUCCGGGAUGAGCAGGAGCUCGGCGAGCGCGCCGAGGCAGGCGAUGCUCGUGGUGCUGUUGCUUGCAGCCGCCGCUGUUGCUGCUCCUUGCCGCUGACCACGAGCUCCAGCUCGAAUGGAGGCCGGCGAGGGAGGCGGCAGCAAGGCCUAGAGCUCGCGGCACCUCAGCUUCGCGUGCGGAUGCGCGGGCUUCUGCUCCGGCACCCUCUGGCAUGGAAAACCACCGGAGUGCAGGGCGGCAAAGGCCACCGGAGCAUGAGGGGUUAUGUGAGACGGCAACCCCUAAUGUGGUAUUUUUUUGUCAAAUACUCGGCGAUUGCUGCUGAGUGUGUCUUGUAUAUUAUGAAACAAUGCCACAUCGGCUCUCACAUCGUGGACUAUGAAUGGGCUAUCCAUACCAGUAACUAUUGGGUAUGCGAUGGGAUCAUCGCAUUGACAGACACUGACAAAGCAUGGCAAGUUGGUGACGUCCUGCAGCACGAGGUGCGUUUGUUGGACGUUGAUGGCGAUUCAACAACGACAUCUUCCUCUCACUUGGCAAGAUCUACCAAGCAUAUGCCAUACUGGAUUUCAACAGCAAUUUGUGGAUUUGUGCUGAGCCCCUCUGGUGCUAUUGCCGACGUCAUGUUUCAACGCUCGCACAGGCUCAGCGUGCUCAAGCUCUCAAGGUGUACCUUCAAUUUCUCAUCACCCGCAUUCCUCUGUUGCCACAGCCUAAGAUUCCUGUGGCUUGAGAACUGUGCAGAUCUCCUAACAAGAACAUACACCAUAGAUCACCACCAAAGAGAUCCAGGCAAGGAGGGGGAAUUGGACAACAGUACCAUGACGUCAUGGGAAUGCUUCCAAAGCUUGUGGGUGCUUGACCUGCGCUACACAGAUUGGGAUCAGAUAUUGUCGGCAAGGGUGAUGGAUCUCAUGACCCAGGUGAGGGAACUAAACGUGAUGGGAGCCAAGCACUGGGACAUGAGCCAUUUACGUGGACGACUCCCUAACAUUCGCAAGCUCCGUGUAACAAAGUCCACAUGCUGCUUCAACAACGAUGUGUUAUCAGAGAUGAAAAGCAUUGAGAUUCUAGAUUUUUCAGGAAAUACCAUCAAACAAGGCAUGGCAAGCUUAACUGGGCCACCAAACAACAGUAGCCUUAAGACUGUCACCAUUGGUGGAUGUGAUGGGUUAAAAGUUGUCACUUUUAGGGGCUGCAAAGAAUCGGAGAACCUAUUCUUGAAAGGGACUUUGGAGAGUCUCGAGGAGCUGGACCUCUCGGGCACAAGAGUGAAAAACCUCAACCUGACAGGAGUGGAAGCCAGAUCACUCCCCAAGCAGAUCAUCCUGCAAGGUUGUGAAAAACUCCGUGCAAUAUUGUGGCCGAUGAGUGUGACAGAGGAAGGGUUGCCGAAAGUGCUGCACAUUGACACCACAUCUCCAUCAGCAACAGCAUAUGGAGGGGAGGCACCACUUGUGCAUCCACAUGCUGAUACAUCCCUCCACCAGCAGAUAGAAGAAAUGUUUAAGGGUGGAUGGCAGAUUUCUCUAACGGAUACAAGGCUCCUUAGGUCGCUUUCUCCUUUAGGAGAUUUUCCAGUGGCCUCAUCCAUACAUAUUGAUAUCUGUCCUGCAGCUACUGAUGGUGGUACUGGUAGCAACAUACAGGGAACAAGCAGUGAGACACCAGCGCAUGUCCAGCCGCAUACAAGCACAGUAAUGGACUCCAAUUACAGAGAUACCUUGAAGGAUGGGCCAGUUGCAGCAGUGAUGAUGUGGGACUGCCCCAAAAUAUGUUUAGCGUCGUGGAGACCAAUGACAUGUAUCAUAAGGGUGAUCGUACAUGGGCAGGACAGCAAACUUUUGGAGGAUGCUCCAGAUGCUACUACUAGCACUUUAUUAUUGCCUGAUUUUAUUUGUGAGCAGAGAGGUGCCCCAAGUUGCACAGUCUUUACUGUUCCUCAGGGCCCUUUUUAUCUGGAGACAUUCUGGGCAUCCCAGCUUCUCUCCGCAGUCUACAUCUGGAACAAACCAGUUAAAAGUAAUUUUGAGUACUUCAACUUCUUGCACCUGGACCACUGCCCCAGGCUUGUACAUGUGCUCCCCAUGUCCGUAUGGAAGAGAGGCACCACCUUUUCUAGCCUAGAGACCAUUGAGAUAGUGUACUGCAGUGACCUCAGGGAGAUAGUGUACUGUGGUGACCUCAGGGAGAUCGUCCCUUUGGGCCCUGAGGAUCAACAACAGGAUAUAAUUCUCGAAUUUCCUAAGCUGAGACGCAUCCACCUGCACGAGCUCCCCACGUUGCACUGCAUCUGUGGGCGCAGGAUGUCCGCGCCUCAACUCGAGACCAUCAAGAUCCGGGGCUGCUGGAGCCUAAGGCGUCUGCCCGUCGUUGGACGCCACACCAAGCCACCUAAGGUGGACUGCGAGAAGGAAUGGUGGGACAGCCUGGAGUGGGACAGGGUGGAGACCCACCAGCCUUCCCGGUACGAGCCGAGGCACUCAAUGUACUACAAGGCCCAGCUGCCCGGAGGCACCGUACUCAGUGGACUCGGGGAUCCACCUCUCAGGUGCAUGGGGGGCCAGGGCCCCUGCUGGUCCCCCUGUCUCCGCCACUGGGGCCUGGAUCCAUUCCUGACGCUCUCCGAGCUUGACACCCACAUCUUAGGCCUCGCCACCCUGCCCCCUUUGUGGAGGACUCUACGAGUGUGGGAUUGGAGCCCCGUGGUUGACCGCAAGGGUCGCCCCCCUUGUUUGUGUCUGAACCCUCCCCAACUUUCCCGCCACAGCAGACGGCUGGUUCGCUCUAGGGCUAGGGACCAAGUGAUGGAGCUGACGGUCUCCGGGAGUGCGGCUAGACGAGCCACGCUACACAACCUCAGUCCUUAA